GUGCGAUUCAAGAAAAAUCGACUUUUCUACGUACGGAAUUUGGGAAAAACUUCCUUCAUAAAAGUUGUAGAGCUCGUCGAUAUGAUCGCGUGCAUAUGUCGAACGAAAUUUUUGGAGUUCGUACGAUUAUGUUACGAAUUUUGGAAAUAUGAGAUUCUUUUUAUAAUCUCUUUUCCUCGGAUUCUCUUUUAGAAAUUUCUUUUUCUUCCUUUUCCUUUUCCUUUUCCUUUCCUCCGGGUCUCCUUCCUUCUUUUUCUUUUUCUCUUUUUUUUUCUUCUUCUUUCUCUCUCUCGCUCGACCGAAACCGAAAACAGAGCAAAGGCUCUUCGGUCUCUCUCUACCUCCACCGGCCACCAAACGGCGUCGAACCACUUCCUUUUGCUUCGUCUCAGCCUUGCGCAGCUGCCAGAGGCAGCCUUGCACCGUGACACGGCCACCAGCGGCGGCGGGAAGCUCCGCCCGGUUUGAGCUCGUUUUGGAAACAAGCUUGAUAUCUCAAGCUACCGGUCACCAAUCCUCACCAAAAUCCAUCCACAAGCUCGCCUCAACGUCCUGAAAACUCCCAGAAGCAGCCUCACACGGCGGCGUGGCCCGUAGCAGUGGCUGCAAGUCAAACCCAACCAAGAACGAGACCGGAGCUAUCGAUCAAGAUAUCUCGAGCUGUAGUGCAUCGUUUUCAUUGAUUCUUUUUCCAGUGGGUUCCCCUUGAUGUUAUUAACAACUCUCUAGAAGGCAUCGAGGCCUGAAAUUGAAGCUUUGACGUCGAAAUCGAGCCUUGCCGGAUUCUGCAAAAUUCUGGAAUUUUUCCGACCACCGAAGCUUUCGAUCGGUAUAUCUCGAGCUACAGACCAUAUUUUUCUGUGAUUCUUGAACCAGUGAGUUCUUCUUGAGUUUCUUAACAACUCUUCAGAAGAAAUCGAAGCCUUAAAUUGACGUUUUUACGUCGAAUUGGAGCUCGCCGUUUUCUGCAGUUUCUCGCCGGUUUCUGGAAAAUUCCGGCCACCUUCAUACUGUUCAAGGUGAUCGACGGUUUGAUUUGGCGGACGAUUCGUGAAAUUGUAUUUUGAGCUGUUAAGAAGACGCAGCGGGAAUUUAGAGCGGGUAAUCCUACAGGACAGGAGAAUCAGGAAGGUGAUCGAGCUGUGUAGAGUAGCUGCUUGUGAUACUCUGAUUUUAUGUUGUGAGGUUCGUUAUGCUCGUUUAGAGUUUUACAAUUUUACUUUGUAAGAGGGAAUUGUAAUAAUUAACUCGAAGUUUACCGAUUUGGAAAUUUUGUGUAAGUGGUGGAGUUGUUUCUGAGAAAAGAA